GAGCACAUUAUUUACAUUAUGUGUAUAUAUAGCUCAUUCUUCUUGCCUUUGUAUAGGGAUGGCGAUGGGUCGAAUCGGGAGUGAGUAGCCAUUCCCAUUCCCAUCCCCAUCCCCGUAAAACCUUUUUCCCCCAUCCCCACCUUCAUACAUGCAAUACAUACUUGAAGAAAAAAAAAAAAAGGAUAUACGAAGGCAAUAUAGCAGCAAUACACACGCAAUAAAGGGCGAUACAAUGGCAAUACACAAACCCCAUUCCCCUUAUAAAUUUAUUCCAACAUAGACUUGAAAAAAAAAAAAAUAUGCGGGGGCAAUACAGUAGCAAUACAUAGGCAAUAAAAGGCUAUACAAUGGCAAUACACAAGGAAUAAAAGGCUAUACAAUGGCAAUACACAAACUUCAUACUCCUCCUAUAAAUUUAUUCUAACAGACUUUAAAAAAAAAAAGAUAUACGGGGGCAACACACAAGCAAUAAAGGGCUAUACAUGUGCAAUACAUAUGCAAUACAUAUCUGUCAUGGCAUUUGCCAAUUAAAUCACUGAUUUGGUUACAUUUGUUUUUUUUUCUUCUUUGCAAGGGGAACGAUAAAACUAGGGCUGGCAAUGGGUCGUGUCGUGUCGGGUUCGUGUCGUGUCGGGAUAAUAAACGUGUCAAGAAUGCUCAACCCGAACCCAACCCAUUUAAUAAACGUGUCGUGUCGGGUUCGGGUCGUCUUUUAUCGUGCGGGUUUCGAGUCGUGUAACGGGUUCAUAAAGAAUAACAUGCAUGUUACAAAACUCACAACCGAAAAAAUUUUAAUUAAAAAAAAACAGAGAGAGUAGAGAAAAUAUAAGGAAAAGAAAGAAAGAAAAAAGAUAGAGAGAGGAGAGAAGAGAGAAGGAAAAGAAAGAAAAAAAAUAGAGAGAGAGAGAGAGAGAAGAUUGAAGGAAAGAAAGAAAGAAAAAAGAGAGAUGAGAGAAAACUAAAGAGAAGGAAAAAAAAAAGGAGAGAAGAGGAAAGGAAAAGAGAAGAAAAAAAAAAGAGAGGAGAAGAAAGAAGGAAAAAAAAGAAAAAGAAAAAAAAAAGGAGAAGAGAGACGGAAAAGAAAGGAAAACUCAAAAGAAAAGAAACAUUAUAAAUAUCAAAAGGCAUACCAUAAAAUCACAAAGUUGGUUAUAACAUGGUGGAUAAGAUGUUGGAGAAAAUGAGGAUAGGAGGGGUUCGAAACCCCUUGUGUGUGUGUUGAAGUCUCCAUUUGUUUUUAUUUUUUAGCGGGUUAGCGGGUUGUACACGGGUUGACACGACCCGUGACACGACCCGUUUAAUAAACGGGUUAGAUAGGUAUUAUAGCGGGUUAGCGGGUUGACCCGAAACCCACCCGUUUAUUAAACGGGUCAGAACGGGUUGACCCGAAAUUGACUUGUUUUUUUAUCGUGCGGGUUGAACCCGCUAAUUUCUCGUGCGGGUUUCGAGUCGUGUAUCGGGUCGUAUCCGAAAUUGCCACCCCUAGAUAAAACCAUGGAAACUAGAGAUUGACAAAUUUCCUUCUAACUUGACUUU
rnacentral:lncRNA from 1 species